rnacentral:rRNA from 1 species
AUGAACGCUGGCGGCGUGCUUAACACAUGCAAGUCGAGCGCGAAAGUUCCUUCGGGGAUGAGUAGAGCGGCGGACGGGUGAGUAAUACGUGAGAAUCUGCCCUUUAGUGAAGAAUACCCUCGAGAAAUCGAGGUUAAUGCUGCAUACGUCCCUUCGGGGAGAAAGAUGGCUUAAUUGCUGUCGCUAGAGGAUGAGCUCGCGCGCUAUUAGCUAGUUGGUGGGGUAAAGGCCUACCAAGGCGAUGAUGGCUAGCCGGCCUGAGAGGGUGAACGGCCACACUGGAACUGAGACACGGUCCAGACUCCUACGGGAGGCAGCAGUGAGGAAUAUUGCGCAAUGGGCGAAAGCCUGACGCAGCGACGCCGCGUGGAGGAUGAAGGUUUUAGGAUUGUAAACUCCUGUUAAGUGAGAAGAAAGACUCGUCACUAAUACUGACGAGUGAUGACGUUAUCACUAGAGAAAGCACCGGCUAACUUCGU